rnacentral:misc_RNA from 1 species
GAUGAAGAACGUAGCGAAAUGCGAUAAGUAAUGUGAAUUGCAGAAUUCAGUGAAUCAUCGAAUCUUUGAACGCACCUUGCGCUCCUUGGUAUUCCGAGUAGCAUGCCUGUUUGAGUGUCAUUAAUAUAUCAACCUCUUCAGCUUAUGCUUGUUGAGUGUUGGAUGGUGGGGGUUUGCUGGUGUUUUAUGAAGUCAGCUCCUCUGAAAUGCAUUAGCGGAACAAUUUGUUGACCGUUCAUUGGUGUGAUAAAAAUAUCUACGCUAUUGACGUCAGUCAGUUCAGCUUCUAACAGUCCAUUGACUUGGACAAAUUUUUCAUUAAUGUGACCUCAAAUCAGGUAGGACUACCCGCUGAACUUAAGCAUAUCAAUAAGCGGAGGA